rnacentral:rRNA from 1 species
GACGAACGCUGGCGGCGUGCUUAACACAUGCAAGUCGAGCGGUAAGGCCCUUUCGGGGGUACACGAGCGGCGAACGGGUGAGUAACACGUGGGUGACCUGCCUCUAGCUCUGGGGAUAAGCCCGGGAAACUGGGUCUAAUACUGGAUAUGACUCCAUGACGCAUGUUGUGGGGUGGAAAGCCUUGUGCGGCUAGAGAUGGGCCCGCGGCCUAUCAGCUUGUUGGUGGGGGAUGGCCUACCAAGGCGACGACGGUAGCCGGCCUGAGAGGGCGACCGGCCACACUGGGACUGAGACACGGCCCAGACUCCUACGGGAGGCAGCAGUGGGGAAUCUUGCGCAAUGGGCGAAAGCCUGACGCAGCGACGCCGCGUGAGGGAUGACGGCCUGGUGU